rnacentral:lncRNA from 1 species
UUACUGAGCUGGGAGCAGUGAGUUCUCAUCAAGCAGCCAGUGGACUCUCAUCCAUCUCUUCUGACACAAUCCAUUUGCUACUGGAGAAGUAAAUCCUACCAUCAACUUCAAGAAUGUUCCAGAGACACAUAUAUAACAUAUAUAACAGUAAUUCCAUUACCCCUGGCCAAUGACUGAUUCGGGAAUAGGCCAUAGGCUAACGAGAACCAAAAAGAGGUUUACUAGGCGCUUCUGGGGUGGUUAUCCUUUCAGGGCCAGCUUGUCGAGUUAGCUUCUGGAAAUGAGCCUCUCUCUCUGGAUGACUUCAUAUGUGGAUAUGAGGUCUGGAAUGGGUGUAACCAUCUUGCUACCAUCUUGAGAAUGAAGUCAACACGAACAACAGACAGGAAGAUCAAGUGAAUGUUCAGAGUAGGAGCCACUGCAAGUCACUGAAAUUCAUCCCCUUUCUGGACUUAAUGUUUGGUUACCAAACACAUUUAUUUACUACUGGAGCUGCCUAAAACAUUAGGAUGCUGAUUAUGGGGCCUCUACGAAGUGAAUUCCACCCAAGAACACCAGGCGGAAAAAUCCAUUCCUGACUGCAGUGGUGAAGUGGAUGCAUGGAAUCCCCAGCAAGGUCCUGGCAGGGCUGGGAAUAAUAACAAACCAGGACUGCAUCAGGUUACCAGGAAGGAGAUGAUCUUGCAGAUUGGCAGGGAAAAACGCAGGAUGAGCCUGCCAAAUCGUGAGUGUCACUGAAGGAUGUAAAAUACUCCAUGACUUUGAUAAUGGGAAGAAAUGGCUUGAUGCGAACUCUAACUGCCAGCCCAGCAGAGGGAGUGACAGCUGAUCCAUUAGGCCUUCUAGUUUCCAGCCCUGCUGGCCACGAAAGCCCCUGGAUGCUGAGAGGCAGCGACUUGAAUUCUAGCUACAGAGGCUUCAGAGAAUGGGGAGUGAUGUGACCGAGGACAGAAACCCUCAGAAGUGGACAACCUCAAGUCAACUGCAACCCCCACUCAUCUUUGCUAUGACCCACCCUAGAGCUUAGAAACUAUAUGUGCAAGGCUCGCUGUUUACAGUGGGGAACAAGAAGAAGGAUUGAAAAAGGGGCAGGAAAAAUCAAAACCCACUCUCAACACUCUAACCUCCAUUCUAGCUAUUCAUUUCUGCUUCCCUUUUAAUCUUUUGGAUAGUUCAACAUUUUUGGUUUGGGAGUCUUAUUCACCUUCCAGGUAAGCUUAACUCAUCUCUCUGUUGUUCGAUCCAAACUUCUUACCUUUUUUAUUUUCCCCACAGUCCUGAAGUUAACUUCCCUUUAGCCAUCCACCAUCUCAGGGUCAUAUCAGGAUUUCAAAUCCCCAUCACGUCCCUUGGCAGUGACCUCAGAGCCCAAGGCAAACUCACACACAUGGAGAGGUUAGAGAUCAUUGCUGAGCCUGUGAAGCCAGGAGCGUAUGGGUGAACUGGGGAAUGUGAACAAGAGGGGAUGAAGAAUGGAGGAUGGAAGAUAAAGGAAACCAUUUAGGAGACAGCAUUGGCUCUUAUCCUGUAAAAGAAGGCUGACCUAGAGUGGGGCCUUGGAGCACCAGGAAAUUUCAUGGGCUGAGGCUGAGCAAAGAAUUAUUAUGUUCUCCAGGCUGGUGUGGUUUGGAGAACCAGCAGUUGUCGGGGAAGAUUCUACAGGCAAAGUCUCUUUAAACAGGGUAGCAUCCAUAUUUAAUAAGUUUUUAUUGAAUUUCCAUGAGGUGCAGGGCCCCAUGCUGGGCACCAUGUUGAACAUGACAGACAAGGUCACUAUUCUCAUGGAGCUUACAUUUCAGUGAAGAAGACAGACAAUUUCACAAGCAGCUACAAAUGUGACACAUGUUACCGAACAGAAGAUACCAAAGACUGUUGGAGCAUCUAAUGUUGGAAGAACAUCUUGACCUUACCAGAAAAACAGUAAUAAACUUCAGAAUGUCUCACCAGUGAAAGCGUGGGUCCAAUAACCAAAGGAUUUGAACAUCAACACAUCACACAGUCUAACACUGCCAGAGGCCAGGAUGGCUUUGACUAACAGAUAGCCCUGUCUGGAUUGGCCUUGUCCACAUUCAAGGUGUUACCUGCAUGGUAUGCAAUUUCUACCUAGGAUACCUUGGCCUGAUACCAGUAUGUUCCCACUCCCAAGGUGCACUUGCAUCUGAUUCAUCUCAGAGCAAUAUCCUCCUAAGGGUAGAUGCUGCAGGAAAUCAAACAUCUACAAAUAAUUUUUUAAAAAAUCAAUAUUAACCAUG